GACGAACGCUGGCGGCGUGCCUAAUACAUGCAAGUCGAACGAAGCUUUUUUAACUGGUGCUUGCACCGACUUAAACAACUGAGUGGCGAACGGGUGAGUAACACGUGGGUAACCUGCCCCAAAGCGGGGGAUAACAUUUGGAAACAGAUGCUAAUACAGCAUAACCACAGAAACCACAUGGUUUCCGUGUCAAGGAUGGUUUCGCCUACCACUUGGGGAUGGACCCGCGGCGUAUUAGCUAGUUGGUAAGGUAAUGGCUUACCAAGGCAAUGGUACGUAGCCGAACUGAGAGGUUGAUCGGCCACAUUGGGACUGAGACACGGCCCAAACUCCUACGGGAGGCAGCAGUAGGGAAUCUUCCACAAUGGACGAGAGUCUGAUGGAGCAACGCCGCGUGAGUGAAGAAGGUUUUCGGAUCGUAAAACUCUGUUGUCAGAGAAGAACGUGUGCGAGAGUAACUGUUCGUGCAGUGACGGUAUCUGGCCAGAAAGCCACGGCUAACUACGUGCCAGCAGCCGCGGUAA
rnacentral:rRNA from 1 species